GUAACAGAGAGUUUGAUCAUGGCUCAGAUUGAACGCUGGCGGGAUGCUUUACACAUGCAAGUCGAACGGCAGCACGGACUUCGGUCUGGUGGCGAGUGGCGAACGGGUGAGUAAUGUAUCGGAACGUGCCUAGUAGCGGUGAUAACUACGCUGAAAGCGUAGCUAAUACUGCCGCCCUUCGGGGAAAGCGGGGACCUUCGGGCCUCGCACUAUUAGAGCGGCCGAUACUGGAUUAGCUAGUUGGUGGGGUAACGGCUCGCUCAAGGCGACGAUCCGUAGCUGGUUUGAGAGGACGACCAGCCACACUGGGACUGAGACACGGCCCAGACUCCUACGGGAGGCAGCAGUGGGGAAUUGACAAUGGGGGAAACCCUGAUCCACAGCCAUCCUGGGCGUGUGCGAUGAAGGCCUUUUCGGGUUGUAAAGCACUUUUGGCAGGAAAGAAACGGCACGGGAUAAUACCCCGUGCAACUGACGGUACCCGCAGAAUAAGCACCGGCUAACCAUGCGCCAGCAGCCGCGGUAAUACGUAGGGUGCAAGCGUUAAUCGGAAUUACUGGGCGUAGCGUGCGCAGGCGGGUUCGGAAAGAAAGAUGUGAAAUCCCAGAGCUUAACUUUGGAACUGCAUUUUUAACUACCGAGCUAGAGCGUGUCAGAGGGAGGUGGAAUUCUGCGUGUAGCAGUGAAAUGCGUAGAUAUGCGGAGGAACACCGAUGGCGAAGGCAGCUCUCUGGAGGAACACUGACGCCUGCAAAUGAAAGCGUGGGAUAAACAGGAUUAGAUACCCUGGUAGUCCACGCCCUAAACGAUGUCAACUGAAGUGUUAGCCUUCUGGCCUUGUAGCGCAGCUAACGCGUGAAGUUGACCGCCUGGGGAGUACGGUGGUCGCAGAUUAAAGAAACCAAAGGAACGAUGAUCCGCAUUACGGUGGAUGAUGAUUGAAAUUGAUGCACCGAAAACCUUACCUACUCCUUGAUAUGUCUGGAACCUUAAAGAGAUUUGGGAGUGUCGGCAAGAGAACCGGAACACAGGUGCUGCAUGGCUGUCGUCAGCUCGUGUCGUGAGAUGUUUGGGUUAAGUCCCGCAACGAGCGCAACCUUGUCAUUAGUUGCUACGAAAGGGCACUCUAUCAGAGACCGCCGGGUAGACAAACUGAGGGUGAUGACGUCAAGUCUCAUGGCCCUUAUGGGUAGGGCUUCACACGCUGGCGCACAAUGGUCGGGACAGAGGGUCGCCAACCCGCGAGGGGAGCCAAUCCCAGAAACCCGAUCGUAAACUGGAUCGCAGUCUGCAACUCGACUGCGUGAAGUCGGAAUCGGGCGGUAAUCGCGAUCAGCAUGUCGCGGUGAAUACGUUCCUUGUACACACCGCCCGUCACACCAUGGGAGUGGGGUUUUACCAGAAGUAGUUAGCUCAACUGUAAGGAGGGCGAUUACCACGGUAGAUUCAUGACUGGGGUGAAGUCGUAAACAAGGCAG
rnacentral:rRNA from 1 species